CUCUUCGAUCUUCGACAUCGAAGAGCUGCGGAACGGGUUCGCGAGACGGUCGGAGAUCGGUGAGAGAUGCCUCACCCCGAAGCCGAUCCGAUUCGGCAUCGAUUCGGUGUAGAACACAUCACGUGAAUCUACCUACAUGUCUUAUCGCGGCACUCUGGAGUGCAGAGAUUGCCGACAGACAGCGUGGGACUCGCCUCGUUGCCCGGCUGUAGGGUAGGGCUAGGUAUGUAUACAGAUAUAGUAUAUAUGCAUCAAUACCGAUUGUUCGAGCGAUGCAACAGGUUACUGACACUUCAAAUCGGCAUUACGUACGUAAUUGUUAUACCGAAGGGCGCUGAACAGUGUUUUCUUAAUAUAAUAACUUGAACAGACUAUUACUCACUCUUAAUAUUCUCGAAUCUCCACCUAUCGAGGUUUGAAUAUAUUGUGCAUACAUGUAUAUGUAAUGUAAUUUGCUGAAUUUUUUUUUAUUGAAAUCGUAUUCACACGGGGAUGUUACAUUAUUGGCGUAUGCUGGAAUGCGCAUUGUAAAUUGAUUGAAAUUAAAAGAGUGACAUAACUUGUCGUGACUUGUAGAAAUUUUUUGUUAUAUCCGUAUAACUGAUAUAUAUCAAGAUUUUACAGCUAUGUGUACAUUUGAACAAAGAAUUACAUACGUAAGUUUCUACAUGGAAAUGCAAACCGGAUAUACCUAGAUGACAGUUUUUAAUUCGUCGGCAAGACUUUGUUGAUGUCACUUUGUAAAAUAACAACUUAUAAUUUAAGUGCAACUAAUUUCCAAAACAAUUAGUUGUCUACGGAAUAAUUACAAUAGUACAACUUAUAAAUUAACGAACAAAUGUAUUCGCGUACGUUAAAUUGAAAAAGUUUAAAAAAUAACACUAAAAAAAAAGGGAAAAAUGAAGCAGUAUAUAUUUUAUUCCCUUGAUUGGAAAUAUAAUAUACAAUAAACAGAGUUACUCACGACGGGCGAUUCUAAGGUUUGCUUCUCUAUUAAAUUAAUUUUUCAAACUUUUCACGCUGCGUUUUGCAAUGCUCAGAUUUACAAAAUUUUUACGUAUACAUUUCAUUUUUUUAGUACAGUCCUAUCAGAAUCAAUUCACUUUAUUGCGAAAUUCCCGUCGUAUAAAAUACAUACAAUGAACUUUGCCAAAUUUUAACUAGUUAUAAAUUUAUUAUUGCUGCCACAAUCAUUUCCGCACAGGCAAAUAAUUUUUAUUAGAAUAUAAAUCUUAGCUCGCAGCUCUGUAACGUUUGCAUGAUAAUAGGGAGCUGGAAAUUUUUCAAUAAUUUCACAAGUAGCCCAAACGAAUUUUAAUAUAAUGAAAGUAUGUACAGAGUCAUUCAUCGACUAUUGAACAUAUUUCACCCUUGAGCGUGAAAGAGCGGCUUAUGCGAGUUUGAGGUAAAAAAUCGGCUGCGUUCAUAGUCACACUCACGUUCAGCAACUGACGAAUGACCCUGUACGUAUAUAAUAAGUUGUAUCAAAUUAGGAGAU